UACGUAGGGGGCAAGCGUUGUCCGGAAUCAUUGGGCGUAAAGAGCGCGUAGGCGGUCCGUUAAGUCCGCUCUGAAAGCCCGGGGCUCAACCCCGGGAGGCGGGCGGAUACUGUCGGGCUAGAGUCCGGAAGAGGCGAGUGGAAUUCCUGGUGUAGCGGUGAAAUGCGCAGAUAUCAGGAGGAACACCAAUUGCGAAGGCAGCUCGCUGGAACGUAACUGACGCUGAGACGCGAAAGCGUGGGGAGCAAACAGG
rnacentral:rRNA from 1 species